rnacentral:rRNA from 1 species
AGAGUUUGAUCCUGGCUCAGGAUGAACGCUAGCGACAGGCUUAACACAUGCAAGUCGAGGGGCAGCACGGUGUAGCAAUACACUGGUGGCGACCGGCGCACGGGUGAGUAACACGUGUGCAACCAACCCCGUACCGGGAGAUAACCCGCGGAAACGUGGACUAACAUCCCAUAAGACUCCAGAGCCGCAUGGCUCUGGAUUUAAAAUUCCGGUGGUACGGGACGGGCACGCGCGACAUUAGGUAGUUGGCGGGGUAACGGCCCACCAAGCCGACGAUGUCUAGGGGUUCUGAGAGGAAGGUCCCCCACACUGGAACUGAGACACGGUCCAGACUCCUACGGGAGGCAGCAGUGAGGAAUAUUGGUCAAUGGGCGAGAGCCUGAACCAGCCAAGUCGCGUGAGGGAAGAAUGGUCCAUGGCCUGUAAACCUCUUUUGUCAAGGAAGAAUAAAUUGCACGUGUGCGAUCUUGCCAGUACUUGACGAAUAAGCAUCGGCUAACUCCGUGCCAGCAGCCGCGGUAAUACGGGGGAUGCGAGCGUUAUCCGGAUUUAUUGGGUUUAAAGGGCGCGUAGGCGGGACGCCAAGUCAGCGGUAAAAGACUGCAGCUAAACUGUAGCACGCCGUUGAAACUGGCGCCCUCGAGACGAGACGAGGGAGGCGGAACAAGUGAAGUAGCGGUGAAAUGCUUAGAUAUCACUUGGAACCCCGAUAGCGAAGGCAGCUUCCCAGGCUCGUUCUGACGCUGAUGCGCGAGAGCGUGGGUAGCGAACAGGAUUAGAUACCCUGGUAGUCCACGCCGUAAACGAUGCUCACUGGAUCUUGGCGAUACACGGCCAGGGUUCAAGCGAAAGUAUUAAGUGAGCCACCUGGGGAGUACGUCGGCAACGAUGAAACUCAAAGGAAUUGACGGGGGCCCGCACAAGCGGAGGAACAUGUGGUUUAAUUCGAUGAUACGCGAGGA